AAUGAACGUUGGCGGCGUGGAUUAGGCAUGCAAGUCGAGCGAGAAGUGUAGCAAUACACGGAAAGCGGCGAAAGGGAUAGUAACACGUAGGUACCUACCCCCGGGCCUGGGAUAGCGGCGGGAAACUGCCAUCAAUACCAGAUAACGUCUCCGGACCAAAGGUGUGAUUCCGUCGUGGGAGGGGCCUGCGUCCUAUCAGCUAGUUGGUGAGGUAAUGGCACACCAAGGCAUUGACGGGUAGCGGGUGUGAGAGCACGACCCGCAUCACUUGGACUGAGACACUGCCCAGACACCUACGGGUGGCUGCAGUCGAGAAUCUUCCGCAAUGGGCGCAAGCCUGACGGAGCGCCGCCGCGUGCGGGAUGAAGGCCUUCGGGUUGUAAACCGCUGUCAGUGGGGAGGAAAUGCAUGGGGGUUCUCCCCCAUGUUUGACCGAUCCGCAGAGGAAGCACAGGCUAAGUUCGUGCCAGCCGCCGCCGUAAUAC
rnacentral:rRNA from 1 species